GCUUGUAAGCUCGAGGUUUCGACCACAGUUGCGAAUUCUACCAUAAUUUUGACGGACUUCUGCUUUUCUCUGAGGCAAUUUUCUUCCCACAUUUAGUAUAUCUGGAGCACACGAUCUCCACUAAGCUCGUAGCGGCCAAGGCUGAAUAAUCGAGAUUAUCAACACAGCAUACUUACCUAUUGUCACAUCUGAUUGUCAUAAGCGAAACGAUCGAGAAAACUGACACAGAAGUCCUAAACAGUCCUGAAACCAAUUAUCCUCUUCUGAUCAUAAGAGGGACAUCCCUUCACGAUGCAAUAGCAACUUUCACAGUUGUAUUACGUAUACUAAAUCCAAAUACGUAUACUACGUAUUUGGAUAUGCUUACCCGCCAGAAGCCGAGAAAUGUUUAGAAUUCAUUCAAAGAUUUUUCUGGAAAUUCCAUCCCAAAAUGGGAUCAAAAAGAUCGGAGAAAAAGAAACUCCGUCAGAGGCCGUUCGACACGACAGUUUUUAAUUUAGCACAGGCUGUUUAUCACUUUUCUGACGAAUUCAGAAUCCCUAAGUAAGUCGUUUUAUAUGGAGACUUAUUAUUUUUUAAGAUAUUUAUGUAAGUUUUCUAAAUUCAAUUUAUAAAAAAUUUGAAUUUUCAUAAUAAAUGUCUGUGUUCUUGGUUCCAAAGACGCUAGGUACUUACUCUUAAUUGUAUAUCCUCAACUCAUAGUCAAUAAGCGAAUAGUAAAUAGAAUUAAAAUAUAUAAUAUAAUACUACAAAAUAUCAGAUAUCAAAUGUUAAAAUGU